rnacentral:rRNA from 1 species
UACGGGGGGAGCAAGCGUUGUUCGGAUUUACUGGGCGUAAAGGGCGCGUAGGCGGCCACCGCAAGUCGACUGUGAAAUCUCCGGGCUUAACUCGGAAAGGUCAGCCGAUACUGUGCGACUAGAGUGCAGAAGGGGCAACUGGAAUUCUCGGUGUAGCGGUGAAAUGCGUAGAUAUCGAGAGGAACACCUGUGGCGAAAGCGGCUCUCUGGACCACAACUGACGCUGAGGCGCGAAAGCUAGGGGAGCAAACAGG